GCUUCGGUGGUGUAGUGGUAGCACGCGUCCUCGGUUAGGAUGAAAAGCAGGUUCAACUCCUGUCUGAGGUU